rnacentral:rRNA from 1 species
UACGUAGGGUGCAAGCGUUGUCCGGAAUUAUUGGGCGUAAAGAGCUCGUAGGCGGUCUGUCGCGUCGGCUGUGAAAACCCGGGGCUCAACCCCGGGCCUGCAGUCGAUACGGGCAGACUAGAGUGCGGUAGGGGAGACUGGAAUUCCUGGUGUAGCGGUGAAAUGCGCAGAUAUCAGGAGGAACACCGGUGGCGAAGGCGGAUCUCUGGGCCAUUACUGACGCUGAGGAGCGAAAGCGUGGGGAGCAAACAGG